rnacentral:rRNA from 1 species
ACAACUUUCAACAACGGAUCUCUUGGCUCUCGCAUCGAUGAAGAACGCAGCGAAAUGCGAUAAGUAAUGUGAAUUGCAGAAUUCAGUGAAUCAUCGAAUCUUUGAACGCAAAUUGCGCCCUUUGGUAUUCCGAAGGGCAUGCCUGUUUGAGUGUCAUAU